GAUGAACGCUGGCGGCGUGCUUAACACAUGCAAGUCGAACGGAAAGGCCAGUGCUUGCACUGGUACUCGAGUGGCGAACGGGUGAGUAACACGUGGGUGAUCUGCCCUGCACUUCGGGAUAAGCCUGGGAAACUGGGUCUAAUACCGGAUAGGACAAUGGUUUGGAUGCCGUUGUGGAAAGUUUUUUCGGUGUGGGAUGAGCUCGCGGCCUAUCAGCUUGUUGGUGGGGUAAUGGCCUACCAAGGCGUCGACGGGUAGCCGGCCUGAGAGGGUGUACGGCCACAUUGGGACUGAGCUGCGGCCCAGACUCCUACGGGAGGCAGCAGUGGGGAAUAUUGCACAAUGGGCGCCAGCCUGAUGCAGCGACGCCGCGUGGGGGAUGACGGCCUUCGGGUUGUAAACUCCUUUCGCUAGGGACGAAGCGUAUUUGUGACGGUACCUGGAGAAGAAGCACCGGCUAACUACGUG
rnacentral:rRNA from 1 species